GGAGUCUAACAUGUGCGCGAGUCAUUGGGCGGCAAACCCAAAGGCGGAAUGAAAGUGAAGGGAGCCUUGGCUUUCCGAGGGAGGAUGGGCGCGUCUUGCCGUACACCCCGGCGGCGUCCCGCACUCCCGGGGCGUCUCUUUCUCAUUGCGAGUGGAGGCGCACCCAGAGCGUACACGUUAGGACCCGAAAGAUGGUGAACUAUGCCUGGUCAGGACGAAGCCAGGGGAAACCCUGGUGGAGGUCCGUAGCGAUUCUGACGUGCAAAUCGAUCGUCGGAGCUGGGUAUAGGGGCGAAAGACUAAUCGAACCAUCUAGUAGCUGGUUCCCCCCGAAGUUUCCCUCAGGAUAGCUGGUGCUCGUGAGCAGACGAGUCUCAUCCGGUAAAGCGAAUGAUUAGAGGCCUUGGGGCCGAAACGACCUCAACCUAUUCUCAAACUUUAAAUAGAUGAGAACUCCGGCUUGCUUAAAGAGUGAAGCCGGAGACUCGGAUCAGAGUGCCCAGUGGGCCAAUUUUG
rnacentral:rRNA from 1 species